ACUCCUACGGGAGGCAGCAGUGGGGAAUAUUGCACAAUGGGCGAAAGCCUGAUGCAGCGACGCCGCGUGAGGGACGACGGCCUUCGGGUUGUAAACCUCUUUCAGUAGGGAACAAGGCAUCAUUUUUGUGGUGUUGAGGGUACUUGCAGAAGAAGCACCGGCUAACUACGUGCCAGCAGCCGCGGUAAUACGUAGGGUGCAAGCGUUAUCCGGAAUUAUUGGGCGUAAAGAGCUCGUAGGCGGUUUGUCGCGUCUGUCGUGAAAGUCCGGGGCUCAACUCCGGAUCUGCGGUGGGUACGGGCAGACUAGAGUGAUGUAGGGGAGACUGGAAUUCCUGGUGUAGCGGUGGAAUGCGCAGAUAUCAGGAGGAACACCGAUGGCGAAGGCAGGUCUCUGGGCAUUAACUGACGCUGAGGAGCGAAAGCAUGGGGAGCGAACAGGAUUAGAUACCCUGGUAGGCGUAG
rnacentral:rRNA from 1 species